rnacentral:rRNA from 1 species
AACGAACGCUGGCGGCGUGGAUAAGACAUGCAAGUCGAACGGGGAACUUUUUUGGUAGGCAAUACUAGAAAAGCUCUAGUGGCGAACGGGUGCGUAACACGUGGGCAAUCUGCCGAGAAGUGGGGGGAUAGCUCGCCGAAAGGCGAAUUAAUACCGCAUGUGAUCAGCUAGGACAUCCUGGCGAAAUCAAAGGUGGCGCAAGCUACCGCUUUUUGAGGAGCCCGCGGCCAUCAGCUAGUUGGUGAGGUAACGGCCCACCAAGGCUUUGACGGGUAGCUGGUCUGAGAGGACGACCAGUCACACUGGAACUGAGACACGGUCCAGACACCUACGGGUGGCAGCAGUCGAGAAUUUUUCUCAAUGGGGCAACCCUGAAGGAGCGACGCCGCGUGGAGGAUGAAGGCUUUCGGGUUGU